rfam:Triticum aestivum genome assembly, contig: Triticum_aestivum_CS42_TGACv1_scaffold_569170_7AS
CUCCUACUCCCUCCGUUCCGAAUUACUUGUCUUGGAUUUGUCUAGAUACGGAUGUAUCUAGACUCAUUUUAGUGCUAGAUACCUCCGUAUCUAGACAAAUCCAAGACAAGUAAUUUAAAAUGGAGGGAGUACUCC